rnacentral:rRNA from 1 species
AGAGUUUGAUUCUGGCUCAGGAUGAACGCUAGCUACAGGCUUAACACAUGCAAGUCGAGGGGUAGCAGGGUAGCAAUACCGCUGACGACCGGCGCACGGGUGAGUAACACGUAUCCAACCUUCCCAUAACUCAGGGAUAGCCUUUCGAAAGAAAGAUUAAUACCUGAUAGUACUUUUUCAAGGCAUCUUGAGAAAGUUAAAGAUUUAUUGGUUAUGGAUGGGGAUGCGUUCCAUUAGAUAGUUGGUGAGGUAACGGCUCACCAAGUCUUCGAUGGAUAGGGGUUCUGAGAGGAAGGUCCCCACAUUGGUACUGAGACACGGACCAAACUCCUACGGGAGGCAGCAGUGAGGAAUAUUGGUCAAUGGGCGAGAGCCUGAACCAGCCAAGUAGCGUGAAGGAUGAAGGUCCUAUGGAUUGUAAACUUCUUUUAUAGUAGAAUAAAGUGAUCCACGUGUGGAUUUUUGUAUGUAUACUAUGAAUAAGGAUCGGCUAACUCCGUGCCAGCCGCUGC